AUGUUCCGCGCUCCUCAGGAUGCUCCGUGCGCCGCAGUCCCCCGCAGAGACGAUCCUCUGGCCGCCGUCCAGCCGGUGGACACAGAAAGGCUGCUACCGGGCGGAGCCAAUCAUGGCGGUGCGGUGACUGACGCUGCAAAGGACCAAUCCCGAGGGCCGCAGGGUAGCGGAGAGUCACUGCUCCUGGAUCCCAGUGUGGAGCAAUCACCCAGAACCACAACCAGAACCCAUCCCAGAACUAGGAAAGAAUGUGACCCGGGGGCGAAAUCCAACUCUUGAAGCAGCCAAUGAGCCAGAGCUGAAACGAGAACCAGAAUCAGAUCCAUAACUGGAAUUGGAAUGAGAAUCGGCGUUUAAACCAGAACGAGACCCGGCACCCAUACCUGACCCAGCAAGGCAGCGAACGCCCCUGUGUUUGCAUUUAGCCCCUAUGAAACAGGUUCUCAUCUCUUUUCUGAUCCAUGUUCACCAUCUUAACUCUUAUACUGCGCAUCCAUUUAUACAUUUUUAUGGCCCGACACGUUUUCUGGAGAGCGGUGGAGUCGAUGCGCUCAGAGACCGCAGACUGUUCUGUGCUGGUUGUACUGGAAACACCACGGUGAUGUCAUUAAAGCCCUUCAUUACGGUCCUACGGUGUGUGUCUUUCAUUGAA
rnacentral:lncRNA from 1 species